GACGAACGCUGCCGGGGUGCUUACACAUUGCAAGCGGACCGGAAAGGCCUUGCUUUGUUGGGUUGUCGGAUUGGCAACGGGGUGAUAACAAGUGGAUAAACUUGCCUUGGCUUUUGGGUUACUUCAAGGAACUUGGGCCUAUACCCGGAAAGAAGUCCUUGUUGAAGGGUGGGGGUGGGAAGUUUCGGCGGGUGGGGAUGGGCUCGCGGCUUAUCAGGUUGUUGGUGGGGUAGUGGCUUACCAAGGCUUUGACGGGUAGCCGGCCUGAGAGGGUGACCGGCCACAUUGGGACUGAGAUACGGCCCAGACUCCUACGGGAGGCAGCAGUGGGGAAUAUUGCACAAUGGGCGGAAGCCUGAUGCAGCAACGCCGCGUGCGGGAUGACGGCCUUCGGGUUGUAAACCGCUUUCGCCUGUGACGAAGCGUGAGUGACGGUAAUGGGUAAAGAAGCACCGGCUAACUACGUG
rnacentral:rRNA from 1 species